UACGGGGGGGGCAAGCGUUGUUCGGAAUUACUGGGCGUAAAGGGCGCGUAGGCGGUUGGUUAAGUCAGCUGUGAAAACCACGGGCUUAACUCGUGGCCUGCAGUUGAGACUGUCUGGCUUGAGUGUGGGAGAGGAGAGUGGAAUUCCUGGUGUAGCGGUGAAAUGCGUAGAUAUCGGGAGGAACACCAAUGGCGAAGGCAGCUCGCUGGGACGGUACUGACGCUGAGACGCGAAAGCGUGGGGAGCAAACAGG
rnacentral:rRNA from 1 species